GACGAACGCUGGCGGCGUGCCUAAUACAUGCAAGUUGAGCGCUGAAGGUUGGUACUUGUACCAACUGGAUGAGCAGCGAACGGGUGAGUAACGCGUGGGGAAUCUGCCUUUGAGCGGGGGACAACAUUUGGAAACGAAUGCUAAUACCGCAUAAAAACUUUAAACACAAGUUUUAAGUUUGAAAGAUGCAAUUGCAUCACUCAAAGAUGAUCCCGCGUUGUAUUAGCUAGUUGGUGAGGUAAAGGCUCACCAAGGCGAUGAUACAUAGCCGACCUGAGAGGAUGAUCGGCCACAUUGGGACUGAGACACGGCCCAAACUCCUGCGGGAGGCAGCAGUAGGGAAUCUUCGGCAAUGGACGAAAGUCUGACCGAGCAACGCCGCGUGAGUGAAGAAGGUUUUCGGGUCGUAAAACUCUGUUGGUAGAGAAGAACGUUGGUGGGAGUGGAAAGCUCAUCAAGUGACGGUAACUACCCAGAAAGGGACGGCUAACUACGUG
rnacentral:rRNA from 1 species